rnacentral:lncRNA from 1 species
ACACACACAGCCCGUCUCGCGCCUGAGGUCUCGCCCGCAGGCCGGUGGCGCGGGGUCAGCUGCUGCCUGCGGUCCAGGACAGGGUCGGUUCCGCCGCGCAGCGCCCAGGCCCAGCUCGUCCAGAGUCUGCGGACAGCGCACGUCCAGACAUCGCCCACUCGGGCUCACAGUGCCAUCCGGGUGAGGACCUCCGUGGAGAGCUCUCUUUGCCAAAGAAAAGCAGUUGCAUUAGGUCUGCGAGCAGGCAGGGUGGCCUCUUCCUGGCUCCCCAUCCACCAAGGAAGCUUCAAGUCCCUGGGACACAGGCACUUUCCCACACAGGAUGGAGCCGGGCCACCCUCACAGCUCCUGCCCUGCAGACGCUGGCCUUGUGGAGGGAGGCAGGCAGCAGGAGCAGUGCUUUCUGGGCCUCUGUAGCCAGAGCUGGCCCUGCUGCAGCUUACGUCUGCCUGCAGCCCAGACGUCCUCCUGGUCCUCCUGAUGCCCCCGACCUCCACGGAGGACGAGCAUUUCCAGCCCAGCCCUCCCCAUCUUCACCUCGCACUCCCCUGACACACUGGGAGCCUCCUGAUCCGUGAACCCGCGCUGGCGGGAGUAGCUACUGACCGCUGGGGACCCCUGCCCAGGCUGUUCGCAUGUGGAAAGGAUUCAGGGAGCAGGCGAUGCCCAAAGCGUGGAGACCAGCACUGCUCUCUCCCCAGUGACAGGUGCACGCCCAGAUCACGGAUGUGUCGGGAACAGCUGUGCUCCUGCUGCUCAGCGUCCGUCACUCCAGGCUGGGAGCGGGUCCCCAAGCUUCUGGCUGGGCCUAUCCGUCUCCACUCUCAGUGUGGGGGUGGGGGGCGCCAACAGCACGCAUUUGCUCUCUGCACUUCUCGUCUGAUAAUGGGCAGAGGGUCCUUCUGCAGCCCCAAAACAUCCCUAGGCAGGAGCCCUGGGGCCCCAAGCAGCCAGGGAGGUGAGCACCAAGGACCUCCCAGAGAGCGUCACCUUCCGUCGAGGGAGGCCCAGCCUGGGGGCGGUGUCUGAGACUUGGAAUCAACGCUUCCGUUGGUGGCAGUAAAUCCUGUCCCUAACCCUGCAGUACAGCUGUGCCGUGUACAGGAGGGUGCUGUCUGACGCCAGACACCUGGACUACAGAUCGCAGCCUGAUUCCUGGUCAUUGCUCCACUGAACCCCAGACCCCAGCCUCGUUCUGGGCCCUCAUCCCCUAGAUCCAGGGACCCCAGCCCCAUUUCAGCCCUUGGGCCCUUGUAGGAUGCGAGGCCCUGGGCCCCAGCCCCCAGCCCAUCCGUGGCCCAGGCACUGGGGGGCUGAGGUCCUCUGAGAAGGGACACAGGGCCUGGGGGGCUCUCUCAGCCCAUCAGCAGGAGAGGACUGACUCCAGAAAAAUCAGCGUUUGUACCCACUCAGGCUGCCAAGACCUGUGUCCGUCCUUCCAAGCUCAACCUUCAGAGUUCAUGAGGCCCCUUGCCCAGAAUGUCCACAGAGUUCAUGAGGCCCCUUGCCCGGAAUGUCCACAUUUGAAACCUCCCAACACCGAGCCCCAUUUCAAGUAUAACCAGGAGGGAAAAUGGUGCUUGAAAUAAGCAUGCCACAAAGGAAAACCUGCUUUCUCGAAAUGGGCCCUGGCCGCCCAGGCCCUGACCUCCCCGGCCAGGAUGGAACGUUCCAGAGACCCAUUAGUGCCAAAGGCAAAUGAAAACACACCCUGUGAAAAU